rnacentral:rRNA from 1 species
UACGAAGGGGGCUAGCGUUGCUCGGAAUUACUGGGCGUAAAGUGCACGUAGGCGGGUUCUUAAGUCGGUGGUGAAAUCCUGGAGCUCAACUCCAGAACUGCCUUCGAAACUGGGAAUCUUGAGUCCGGGAGAGGUGAGUGGAACUGCGAGUGUAGAGGUGAAAUUCGUAGAUAUUCGCAAGAACACCAGUGGCGAAGGCGGCUCACUGGCCCGGUACUGACGCUGAGGUGCGAAAGCGUGGGGAGCAAACAGG